ACUGCUCAGUAACACGUGGCUAACCUACCCUUUGGACGGGGACAACCCCGGGAAACUGGGGCUAAUCCUCGAUAGAGGAGAAGGCCUGGAAUGGUUUCUCAUCUAAAAGGCGUUUAGACCAUGCUUCUGGAUGUCGCCAAAGGAUGGGGGCGCGGCCGAUCAGGUUGUUGGUGAGGUAACGGCUCACCAAGCCUAUAACCGGUACGGGCCGUGAGAGCGGGAGCCCGGAGAUGGGCACUGAGACAAGGGCCCAGGCCCUACGGGGCGCAGCAGUUGCGAAAACUCCGCAAUGCGCGAAAGCGUGACGGGGCUACCCCGAGUGCCGUCCGCUGAGGAUGGCUUUUCCGCGGUGUAAGGAGCCGUGGGAAUAAGGAGAGGGCAAGACUGGUGUCAGCCGCCGCGGUAAUACCAGCUCUCCGAGUGGUGGGGAUGAUUAUUGGGCUUAAAGCGUUCGUAGCCGGCCUGGCAAGUCUUCCGUUAAAUCCAGCGGCCUAAUCGUUGGACUGCGGGAGAUACUGUUAGGCUAGGGGGCGGGAGAAGCCGACGGUACUCUCGGGGUAGGGGUGAAAUCCUGUAAUCCCGGGAGGACCACCAGUGGCGAAGGCGGUCGGCUAGAACGCGCCCGACGGUGAGGGACGAAAGCUGGGGGAGCGAACCGGAUUAGAUACCCGGGUAGUCCCAGCAGUAAACGAUGCGGGCUAGGUGUUGGGGCGGCUACGAGCCGCUUCGGUGCCGCACGGAAGCAAUUAAGCCCGCCGCCUGGGGAGUACGGUCGCAAGGCUGAAACUUAAAGGAAUUGGCGGGGGAGCAC
rnacentral:rRNA from 1 species